rnacentral:rRNA from 1 species
AUUGAACGCUGGCGGCAGGCUUAACACAUGCAAGUCGAGCGGAGAUGAGGUGCUUGCACCUUAUCUUAGCGGCGGACGGGUGAGUAAUGCUUAGGAAUCUGCCUAUUAGUGGGGGACAACAUUCCGAAAGGAAUGCUAAUACCGCAUACGUCCUACGGGAGAAAGCAGUGGAUCUUCGGACCUUGCGCUAAUAGAUGAGCCUAAGUCGGAUUAGCUAGUUGGUGGGGUAAAGGCCUACCAAGGCGACGAUCUGUAGCGGGUCUGAGAGAAUGAUCCGCCACACUGGGACUGAGACACGGCCCAGACUCCUACGGGAGGCAGCAGUGGGGAAUAUUGGACAAUGGGCGGAAGCCUGAUCCAGCCAUGCCGCGUGUGUGAAGAAGGCCUUUUGGUUGUAAAGCACUUUAAGCGAGGAGGAGGCUACCUAGAUUAAUACUCUGGGAUAGUGGACGUUACUCGCAGAAUAAGCACCGGCUAACUCUGUGCCAGCAGCCGCAGUAAAAC